CACAUAUAAUUGUUACUCCAGAAGAUGGUAUUUAUGGCUGGAAAUUUACUAGGGAAGCUAUAUUUCCUUACCUUGAAGAUAUUCCAGAUCCCGAAGUUAACUGGAUACCUUGCUCUGACCCUGAAAGGUUUGAAAGAGCUAAAGUUCAAACAAGACUAAGCUGUAUAGCAAAAAACAAAUUUAUUUAUGUGUUGCAAAUAUUGGAGAUAAAAAGCCAUGCAACCUCUUCACUGCUGGAAGCCCAGAAGAUGGUCAUUAUCAUUAUAAUACAGCUGUUGUCUUUGACUCUGACCACAAGGUACCACAAGUACAACCUUUUUCUAGGGGAGAUCCAGUUUAAUGUACCACCUGAACCUGAGAUGGUGACCUUUGAGACACCAUUUGGAAAGUUUGGAAUCUGCUUCGAUAUACUUUUCUACAAGCCAGCAGCAGCCCUGGUGGUUGAUCACCAAGUGGGUACUAUACUGUUUCCCACAGCAUGGAUGAAUGUUCUACCUCAUUUAACUAUAUAACUAUAGAAUUUCAUUCAGCAUCGGCUAUGGGUAUGGGCAUUCAUUUAAUUUCUGGCAACACUCAUGACACCAGCAAGAGAAUGCCAGGUGAGUAAAAUAUAUCAUAUGGGCAUUUUGAAUAAUAGCUGUUCAAUACAAUAGAAUUGCUGUUAAAUAAAAUUCAUAAUUGAAAGGCAGCUCACCUUAAAAUUAACUUUUAGCAUCAUGUAAACAAUGGUAUCCUAAGACAAUUGGCAAUUAAACUUGUUUGUUGUUAUUAUUUAACUAUUUGUUCUGCAAUUUACACAACUUUUAUUUUGUUGCUAGAAUCCCAUUUAUGAUAGCAACCAGGCAGUUAUUUGAAUGGCAGACAAAGAGGAGGAAGUAAGAACAGAAAUGCAAGUGAUAACAUAAUCAUUAAUUAAUAAUUAAUAUGGAUUCUGGUAAGAUGGGUCAGUGAUGCCAGAAACUGGAUUGCAUUUGAAAACAAAGACUGAAGAAAGGCAAAAAUAAAAAAAUACAUAAUAAAACUAUUGUUCCCCCUAUUUUUCCUUAAUUUUGUCUAUACUACAGCCUACUGAAAAUAUAAGAUUGAUGCACGAUUGAAAGAAAAUGUAGCUCUCUGUUACUAAUAUGAUAUGGAACAAACAGGCUAAUGUUAAAUAAAAAGUUUAAAAGAAAUACAUAAUACAUACAUACAUAAUACAUAAUUAA